rnacentral:pre_miRNA from 12 species
AUGGCUGUGAAUUGGCUUAAUCUCAGCUGGCAACUGUGAGGAGUUAAUAAUUCUCACAGUGGUAUCUGGGAUUAUGCUAAACACAGCAAUUUCUUUGCUCUAAUG